rnacentral:rRNA from 1 species
AAAACUUUCAACAACGGAUCUCUUGGUUCCGGCAUCGAUGAAGAACGCAGCGAAAUGCGAAAAGUAAUGUGAAUUGCAGAAUUCCGUGAAUCAUCGAAUCUUUGAACGCACAUUGCGCCCUUUGGUAUUCCGAAGGGCAUGCCUGUUCGAGCGUCAUUGCACCUCUCAAGCACUGCUUGGUAUUGGGCCC